rnacentral:rRNA from 1 species
AAUCAACGCUGGCGGCGUGCCUAACACAUGCAAGUCGAACGCGAAAGCCCCUUCGGGGCGAAGUAGAGUGGCGUCCGGGUGAGUAACACGUGGGUAAUCUACCUCCGGGUGGGGAAUAACUCGCCGAAAGGCGGGCUAAUACCGCAUAAUGCAGCGGCACCGAAUGGUGAUUAGUUGUUAAAGCGGGGGACCUUAGGGCCUCGCGUCUGGAGAGGAGCCUGCGGCAGAUUAGCUCGUUGGAGGUAAGUGGCCUACCAAGGCUGCGAUCUGUAGCUGGUCUGAGAGGACGGCCAGCCACACUGGCACUGACACACGGGCCGAGACUCCUACGGGAGGCAGCAAGUGGGGAA